rnacentral:rRNA from 1 species
UACAGAGGGUGCGAGCGUUAAUCGGAAUUACAGGGCGUAAAGCGCGCGUAGGCGGCUUUGCAAGUCGGGUGUGAAAUCCCCAGGCUUAACCUGGGAACUGCAUUCGAGACUGCAUUGCUAGAGUAUGGGAGAGGGAAGUGGAAUUUCCGGUGUAGCGGUGAAAUGCGUAGAUAUCGGAAGGAACAUCAGUGGCGAAAGCGACUUCCUGGACCAAUACUGACGCUCAUGUGCGAAAGCGUGGGGAGCAAACAGG